rnacentral:rRNA from 1 species
GAUGAACGCUGGCGGCGUGCCUAAUACAUGCAAGUCGAGCGAACAGACGAGGAGCUUGCUCCUUCGACGUUAGCGGCGGACGGGUGAGUAACACGUAGGUAACCUACCUAUAAGACUGGGAUAACUUCGGGAAACCGGAGCUAAUACCGGAUAAUAUUUCGAACCGCAUGGUUCGAUAGUGAAAGAUGGCUUUGCUAUCACUUAUAGAUGGACCUGCGCCGUAUUAGCUAGUUGGUAAGGUAACGGCUUACCAAGGCAACGAUACGUAGCCGACCUGAGAGGGGGAACGGCCACACUGGAACUGAGACACGGUCCAGACUCCUACGGGAGGCAGCAGUAGGGAAUCUUCCGCAAUGGGGGAAAGCCUGACGGAGCAACGCCGCGUGAGUGAUGAAGGUCUUCGGAUCGUAAAACUCUGUUAUUAGGGAAGAACAAACGUGUAAGUAACUGUGCACGUCUUGACGGUACCUAAUCAGAAAGCCACGGCUAACUACGUG